GCCAACCAGCUCCGUGUGACAGCACGCAGGAAUGAAAAUAGCUGGAACAACUGAGAAUUCCCAGUGUGCCACUAGGAGAAACACAUACCUAAAAUUAUCAACUUUGAUAUAAAGAAAAAAUCAGAGGAGGAAAAAGAGAUAGCAGGGCAUUUCCAUUCCCUGCUUUCCUUCGGAGAGUUGAAGCCUAAUGGCAGCAGCAACCAGCAAGAGCUGGUCUGGGCCAGGUGCAGUCCUGAAACCACCCCAGAGGAAUCCGGUUGAUGUCCUCCAUGAGUG
rnacentral:lncRNA from 1 species